UCUGAGGUCAUGUUUUCGAGUGACAAUAGGCUGUCAACGUAUACGAGAGGAGUAAAAUAGGAUUAUUAUUUGGACAUCGGAGUAACUGGCUACCUUGAAAGCACUUGAGGCAUAGGAAAAUUAGGACGAUCUGCCCUAAAGAAAUAUAUAAGAGUGAGGUAUAAUUCUGC